UGAACUUAAGCAUAUCA
rnacentral:rRNA from 1 species